CUAAGGAGCACUUCUCCACGACGCUUCACACAGGUGAAUGUGGUUGUGGCAGAGACCGUUUAGUUCCCAAUCGUGGAACUGCGGAAGCUCAUGGGUGGAACGCUGACAAGCUUCAACGCAUCAUGGUCGAGGCCAUGUCCUCGAUCGCGGUGAAUAUAUCGACACACUGUUGGGUCCUGAAAGAACAGACGUUCUUUCCAGGCAAAAAAUACGACGAGGCUGAUCUUCAGUCAUACCGCCGGGUCUUCGGGUUCGGGCUGGUGCUGAGUCAAGGGUUGGUCUUGUGUGUUGUUUGAGAACUGCACAGUGGACGCGAGCAUCUUUGUUAGUAAGUGUGUAAGAGCGUAC
rnacentral:misc_RNA from 1 species